CUUUGUGUUUUUGUUUUUUGUUUUUCUUUUAAGAUGUGUGACUGAAGACCAUCAGGUCUUAAGGAAAAGGAGAAGGGAGGGGGAUUGGCGUUGGUGAUUCACAUUGGAGACCUAAGGGCUUUCCCUGUAUUUGAGGCCACCUCUUUUAUUUAGCUAUCUGGGAUCCUUAGCUAUGGUGGAGUUAAAGGUUUUGUGGGUAGAAGGGAAGGCAGGGGGUGGGAGGAGGGACCCAGAGUAGAGGGACUCAAGUGACCCUCAAGUGAUGCGACCCAUUGUGCUGUUGUUGGCUUUUGCAGACAUAGCAAAAAGAUAACUCAGCAAACCAAUGCUAAGCAGGUGCACUGAUGCAGAGACUGCCUGCUUGGAGAACGUUUGUUUGUAGAUAAUAUGGCCAGCAGCGUUUAAGAAAAAUGAAAUAUUUUAUAUUCCGGAUUGUUGGUUUGGUUUGUUGACCUUUUCCUAUGGCCUUACGUCUUCCCACCUCCUCCUUUGUAGAAUGUGGUCAGCCAUGAGUAACUAAGUGAUUGUUUUGAAGAUGAUUAAAGGUCUGGACCAGUCAUGCUAAUCCUAUUAAAGUAAUGUGAUGAAAGCUGAUAUUUGGGCAUACCUGAGCUUUGGCAAGCCCGUUAGAUAGAACCAGUCAUUCUCUAGGACUGUUUCUUGCAGAUUGAGCUGGGUGGGUUGGUAGGCCUUGGUGGUUUGGAUAUGGGGAAUAGGGUGGGUGGGGGCCUAGUGAGGGAGAGAGUUAACUGGGCUCUGUCAUCUCUUCACUCUUAAGAUGGAUGGGGUUGGAUAGAAAGUGUGAAUAAAGUAAGAAUCAAUGACUGAUGCUUCUUUCCUAUUAAAACAAUCUUUUUUUUUUGUCUGUUUAAAAAAGGGGGCUGGCUUUGUUUCUCCUGCCAUAAUGAUGCAGUGCCUCUUGUUUUCAGAGCUGACAUAGUUUGCAUUCUGAAAACUUUUAGAUGCCCAGGGUAUUUCUUAAAGCUGCAGGACCCCAUGUAUCGGUAGUUUCCUUACCACUGUGACUCGAUUCAUGCUGGAACAGCUUUUAACCCAUAAUGGAUGGCCUGAGCUACCCCUGAAUCCUUGUAGAUGGGUGGUGUAAUCUGUCAUCUGAUGACAAUUCUGGAAAGCGCUGUUAAGCAGAAAACAGAAAAUUGUGUGUCUAUAGACCUGCCAAAGUUUGAGGAUUCAGGCUGUGUCCCAGAAACGUGUGUCAACUUAAUAUUUGGGGGCCAAGGUGGGGGUUCUCUUACACAUAAAGGAUUUGCCAGCAUGAUCACAAAUGGAGCUAUCUCUUCCCACACUUAAGACCUUCCACCUGUAGAUUUAGCAGCUCAACUGAGACAUUCAGGUUUUAACCCCUUGACUGAUAUAAGAUUGAAAGAUUGGGAUUUUGGUUUAGGGUUUUGUGGAGUGUUAUCUGUUGGAUUCCCUCCCACUCUCCUGUUUCUUCUCAGAAACUUCUAACCCAAUUGGCUUUUCUUGGAAAGCAGAAAUUGAAUUUCAUUGGAGAAACAUGUCCAAGGAAAAAUGUUUCCGUUCUCACUAUUCAAGAGAAGGAAGCAUGGUUAUUCUCUCUAGUUUGUGGUUUUGGUCCCUAUGGAAAGGAACUAGUGUUCACAGAAAAUGUUAACUGAGGGAGUAAGUUAGAAAGCACAGCCAAAAUAAGGUGGAUCAGAGCCGGGAAUGAAUGUGCAAGUACUUGUAAGCUCUCAGUGAGCACUGUUGUUUAUGCUUAAGUUCCUAUUUUCUAUUACAUUUCUCUUCCCAGAGUUACUUUUAUAAUGUUUUAAUGGUAGAAACCCAAAAUUCAAAAUUUUACUGGUAAUGAAAGAGUAUGCCUCUUUCUAUUCAGUCUGUCACCUAAUUUUUGCUUACACCUGUCUCUACUGAAGCAGCUUAAAGGGAUAAUUUUUCUAACCUAGAGUUUGAAAAUUUUCUUUAGUUCUUGGUCUAGCUCAUUAUUAGUAGGCCUCAGGUAGGUUGAGUCUUGUGAAAAAAAAGAUCCCUUCUAUGCCGAAGAUAUUUAUCUCUUUGCAGUUUAUCUACGUCAUUCUCAGAGCUUAUUUAAAGUGAGCAUCUUUUUAAAAGGAGACUUCUGAAUUAUAGAGAUGUUUAAACUCUAACUAGAAAACCUGGGACUACCUUUUCCUAAACAUUUAGGCUUCUAAAAUAGAAUUCUUGAAAUUUGGGAUUGGAGGCUAAUCUUAAAAAUUAUGUAACACAACAUUAGGCUUUAUACUUCAAUCCCUGUACAGCACCCCAGACUUUGAUUGAAUAUCUUGCUUGAGGAGGAUCCACUACCCCAAACCAGCAAGUUCCACCCUAGGACAAUAUGAUUAUUAGAAAGAUAUUUCUUAAGUUGGCUAAAAUCUAUCUCACUUAACCUUAAUUCUUUAAAUCUUUAUAUUUUUAUUUCGGCACCCUCAAUGAAAGGAAUGGGCUUUCUAGUCCUCAUCUAUUGAGCUUCCUAUUUGCUAGUAUUUGAGUCUUUUUCACGUGUUGCAUUGUUACCUAUUUCUUAUCUAGUCCUUACAGGGUUGAUUUUAUGGACCAGAACUGGAGACUACUCUCACUGUGUUUUUCUUUCAGAUAUACUAUUAAGAACAUAGAUUUGUGUUUUCAUUAUAUAAUGAGCUAUCUAAACCUGUAACUGACCUCCUGAGUCAGUUAUCUAGCUUAACUGAUUUAAUCAUUAUACCCUUAAUAAGUCAAAGAUAAAAAUAUUAAAUAGAAAUGGCACAAGUUAAAGGAAGAAACCAAAGUUAAGGCAAAUUAUAGGGUACACACAUGUAAAAAGGGGAUCUGCUCUAGUACAGUACAGUGAGAAUAUUUUUUUACCAUCAUUGAGCGUGUUUGCCUCACUGUUUUAUAUGUGUAUUCUGAGCAUGCUUUCAUAGUCUCUUGCUUUAGAGAGUUUCAGACAGUAUCAAUUGAAUGAAUAAUUUUAAAAUAUUCAAAACAUGGAAUAUUUGAUGAAAUCAUCUUUGUAUGGAUUAUAAUAACAGUGUCAUUUAAAGGCUAUAGAAUUUCAUUAGGAAGCAAAUUAAAUGCAGAUAGCAAAACUGUUCAUCCUCUUUCACUUGUCCUAUUCUCACUUUUCUACUUCUUAAGAAAAAGAGAGAAAUAGCAUUUUGAAUAUAUAAGCUUUCAUGAUAUUUUACAUUUGUGUGGCACUUCAUAGUUAAAGUACAAAUAAGUUAAAUCUCAUUUGUCAGAUUUCUGAGUUUGGAAAACCUCCUAUUAAUAAUAAUGUGAAUUAGAUAGUAUAAAUCAAAAUCCCCUUCUCUAGCAUUUUGUAUUUUCUAUCUUUAUGAGUUCAUAGAAGUAGGAUUGCAAUAUGACUUCCCAUGCAAAAAUCAAAUACAUGUGUAUGUUUCCAUCAAAAUUCAAAUUUGGGUUAAUGCUGAAUUUGAAGAAGGACAUCUCAAAGGCUUAUUUAAUUAGCUAUCUUAAAGUGGUAUGUACAUACCAAGUGCUGACUUUUAAUGGUUCAUAACUGAGAGUUAUAAUAUAGGACCAAUAUAUACUAUAUAGAAUCGACCAAUAUAGUAGAUUCUCAGUACUUACUUUAUUAUUUUAACAGUGGCAUGGCUUAUCUUUUUAUUCCGUGGUUAAGCAUUAAGUAGAUAAUGCUGUUGUACACUAGAAUCAUGAUUUUCAUUUCAGUUUAUUUUAUCAAACUCUUAAGUGCCUACUGCUUACAAAUGACAACCUAAGUGUUGUAGGAAUACACAGAUGAAUAUAGUGUAAUCUGUGCCCUCUGGGAGCAAUGGAAUGAAUACUUGAUUCUAAUAUAAGACACACUGUGAUAAGUACUACAUUGAAGGAUGAAGCUAUUAUGUAUGUUUACUUCAGUGACUUUUGUUUACUUCAGUUACUUCAGUGACUUUUGCUACAUAGUAAAUUACCCCACAACAUGUUGGCUUAAAACAAGAACCACUUAUGAAGCUCAACUUUCUACAGAUUAGCAAUUUAGGGUAGAUUCAGUUGGGCUUACUCAUACUUUGAGGUCUGCUGCUAGAUUGGCUAGGGACUGGUUGGCCUAGGAUGCCUUAGCUAAGGCUACUCUUUUCUACUCCCUGUGAUCUCUCACCUACAAAAAACCUAGUCUAGACUUAUUCACAUGGCAUCUUGGCAGAGUUCGAAGAAAGUAACAGGAAGUGUGCAAACUCCUUGAGGCCUACACUUUGAGCUAGCAAACCAUCACUUCUACCACAUUCUUGUGGCUACAGCUAGUCACAAGACCAGUCCAAAUUCAAGAAAUGGGGACAUAAACUCCAAUUUGCACUCUAGUUGAGCUAUAAGACAUGUACAAACAAUGCAAAUGAAGAGCAAGUUUGUACCUAUAAGUGAAGAAAGAGGCCAUGAAGUAGAGAGGCCUAUGUGUGCCUGAGUAGCUAUAAAAUAUCUCAUUGGAAAAGGUGAAGAGUCACACUGAAAGUCAGGUAUUGUAAAGGGAAGAAAAUAUUUAAACAUAGAAAAUAGCAGAUUUAAGUUUUGUUUAAAACAUGGUGUUUUUGUAUGUUAGUUUAGUUAGCGUCUAGAUUGUCUUUUCUCUUUUAAGUAUUAGGCUGAUCUCUGGAAACCCCUAUUUCUUGUUAUAUUAUUUUUUGUUGUUUGGCCUCCUCAUAUACCUCUUCUUUUAUGUCCUAUGUAUUCUUUUCCUCAUUAAAUGGUACUAUUUGCAGGCUACCCUGAAACAUUUCACAUUUCUGUUAUUCACAUUCAUUGUAAGAGCUUCUUGACUUCCUUAGAUAAUUGUUUGCAUUAUUUAUUUAAUCUAUGACAGUUCACCUUCCAUAUUUGACCGAAGGUUUGAGAGUGUUCCUUUUCUUAGCAACAUCCCAUUAUUUUCUGUUCCUUGGCCCCGGCAGCUACUUACUUCUGAUAUAUACUUAAGUUUUCAUAAAGCUGAAUGAAUUGGGUUGUAACAUUGCAUCAGAUCUUGUGAAUGGAGCUUGUUGGCAACGACUCUUAUACAGCAAACCAUCCCAAGAUAUCUAGGGCUUUUUUUAGAUUGAGCUGUUGAUAUUCCCCCUAGGCCAGUUAUUCCCCAAUUUCUAACCUACAGUCUAAAGUAAACACAGUGCAUUUCCAUUGCCAACACUUAACCCGCCUUGAAAACAACUAUAGGACCUAAGAGAAAUAGUUGCAUAUUUCUUUUGAGAUACCUUCAGCCAACUCUGCUACUUUUCCUUUUAAA